rnacentral:rRNA from 1 species
GACGAACGCUGGCGGCGUGCUUAACACAUGCAAGUCGAACGGUAAGGCUCCAGCUUGCUGGGGUACACGAGUGGCGAACGGGUGAGUAACACGUGGGUGACCUGCCCUGCACUUCGGGAUAAGCCUGGGAAACUGGGUCUAAUACCGGAUAGGACCGCACCGUGAGGGUGUGGUGGAAAGUUUUUUCGGUGUGGGAUGGGCCCGCGGCCUAUCAGCUUGUUGGUGGGGUAAUGGCCUACCAAGGCGGCGACGGGUAGCCGGCCUGAGAGGGUGGACGGCCACAUUGGGACUGAGACACGGCCCAGACUCCUACGGGAGGCAGCAGUGGGGAAUAUUGCACAAUGGGCGGAAGCCUGAUGCGGCGACGCCGCGUGGGGGAUGACGGCCUUCGGGUUGUAAACUCCUUUCACCAUCGACGAAGGGUUUCUGACGGUAGAUGGAGAAGAAGCACCGGCUAACUACGUGCCAGCAGCCGCGGUAAUACGUAGGGUGCGAGCGUUGUCCGGAAUUACUGGGCGUAAAGAGCUCGUAGGUGGUUUGUCGCGUCGUCUGUGAAAUUCCGGGGCUUAACUCCGGGCGUGCAGGCGAUACGGGCAUAACUUGAGUGCUGUAGGGGAGACUGGAAUUCCUGGUGUAGCGGUGAAAUGCGCAGAUAUCAGGAGGAACACCGGUGGCGAAGGCGGGUCUCUGGGCAGUAACUGACGCUGAGGAGCGAAAGCAUGGGGAGCGAACAGGAUUAGAUACCCUGGUAGUCCAUGCCGUAAACGGUGGGCGCUAGGUGUGGGUUUCCUUCCACGGGAUCCGUGCCGUAGCUAACGCAUUAAGCGCCCCGCCUGGGGAGUACGGCCGCAAGGCUAAAACUCAAAGGAAUUGACGGGGGCCCGCACAAGCGGCGGAGCAUGUGGAUUAAUUCGAUGCAACGCGAAGAACCUUACCUGGGCUUGACAUAUACAGGAUCGCGCCAGAGAUGGUGUUUCCCUUGUGGCUUGUAUACAGGUGGUGCAUGGUUGUCGUCAGCUCGUGUCGUGAGAUGUUGGGUUAAGUCCCGCAACGAGCCCAACCCUUGUCUUAUGUUGCCAGCACGUUGUGGUGGGGACUCGUAAGAAACUGCCGGGGUUAACUCGGAGGAAGGUGGGGAUGACGUCAAAUCAUCAUGCCCCUUAUGUCCAGGGCUUCACACAUGCUACAAUGGUCGGUACAGUGGGUUGCCAGUCCGUGAGGGCGAGCUAAUCCCGCAAAGCCGGUCUCAGUUCGGAUCGGGGUCUGCAACUCGACCCCGUGAAGUCGGAGUCGCUAGUAAUCGCAGAUCAGCAACGCUGCGGUGAAUACGUUCCCGGGCCU